rnacentral:rRNA from 1 species
UACGUAGGGGGCUAGCGUUGUUCGGAAUCACUGGGCGUAAAGGGCGCGUAGGCGGCUUUAUAAGUCGGGGGUGAAAGCCUGUGGCUCAACCACAGAAUUGCCUUCGAUACUGUAGAGCUUGAGACCGGAAGAGGUAAGUGGAACUGCGAGUGUAGAGGUGAAAUUCGUAGAUAUUCGCAAGAACACCAGUGGCGAAGGCGGCUUACUGGUCCGGUUCUGACGCUGAGGCGCGAAAGCGUGGGGAGCAAACAGG